AGAGGGGAGGAAGAGAGAGGGGAGGGAGGAGGAGAGAGGGCGAGAGAGGGGGAAGAGAGAGAGACCUACUACCCUAAUAGAGCUUUGAGUGGGGCAGUAAAAACAGCAAGCUGAGAAUCACCAUGGUCACAGGAAUGCACAGGUACAGCGUCACUUCCUGAUGAUGUCACUAUUUUUGCUUGGUGGAAGAGAGAGAAGAGAAUGUCACCUGUGGAUGAUUCAUCUUCGCAGCAGCUGGUUUGGUCCAGGUGUCUGGCCCCAGGGAGAAGCUUCUGUGUUUGGAGGUUGUGGAGGUGCUUGCCAGGCAGAGUCAUAGACUGUUCCACUGAGCAUGUUCAGUGGGCCACCAUGGGAGGAUUGCCUGAGUUGGGACAGCCAUAAACUCCACUAUCUCUGGUUUGGGAAAUAUCUCACUUGGUAUCCUCAUUUCAUUCUUUGACCCUAGAGAUUUAUAGUUUCCAGCUACAGGAAAGGUCCGUAUUUUCAUAGCAAGUGGUAAAAUAUCUCUUUGUCCUUUCAAAGACAUGAGUUCCAAGCUGAGAAGCUGUGUGACUAUGGGAGAGGGAUCUUCUGUCUGCAUAGUGCAGCUGUCAGCCUUCCCUACAGAAGCGAACCCACGUGGCUGGAGCACUGGGGAGAGCAUUAUCUCCAGCUUCGCUGAACUUCCCACAUGUAGCCUUUGAAAUUUUUCCCGCUCAACGGUCUACCCCCCUCCACUGCAGCCUUGAAAGAAGAUGUCUGAAAGUAGUCUAUUUUUAGUAUGGAGCUGGUUGUGAAGAGAUCAUGAGUGGGAGAACUGGUUUCAGGGAAACUUGCAUGUCCUCAAGCUGCCCUUUGGUUGUGUGCCCCACCCCCGCAGCCGUACCCCCCCCCCUCUCCACGUUGUCAUUUUUAAAAAGUUGUACUCUGUUGCUAUUUGGAAUAAAUGUCUCAGUUCCCGAUCCUAUUAAAUCUGAACCCAUCAAUGUCCAACUGGAAACUUGCGUAAAGCGCGUUAACAAUAAUAAAGUCAGCACAGCAUUUAAAAGUAGAUCUGGUAUCAGAUCCACCUCUCCUCCCUCCCACCUGGGAUCCUACAGAAAACUGCAAAAUCUCAGUCCUUUUGUUACCCACUUAUAACAUGGGAAUAAACAUAAUAAUUACAGUUUAUGUUUUAGUCCUCUUGUAAAAAAAUAUACGCGGGAGACUGUUUUGCAAAUCAUAAAAUAUUACACAAAGCUUAAUUAUUUUACAGAAAAACAUAUAUAGAUUUUCUUCCCUCUUAAAUUAUUCAUUUUGUAUCCAUUCCUAUAGCUUGGAGAAAUGAGGUAUUUGAUUCUUAGUUCCUGGGAACUGCUUGUACAUUCACAUCAAUUAUUUCACUUUCCUCCCAUGCCAUGCUUACUCUACCUACAGACUUUACUGUGGGACUGAGUUGUCUGUUAUUUAAAGUAAGUUGGACUCUGACUUCUAGGCCUUUUGGUAUAUAUUCAUUUUCUGGUUGCAAUUUCAUGUAGGACUCUGGAGAUAGUCAGAAUGGGUAAUUAGGUGUUACUUAACAAAGCAACAUGGAUUUCUUGGUAACAUUUGUUCUGAAUUCUGAAAUUUGUAGACAUGAAAGUAAGUUGUGCUGGGAGGGAAAGAGUCAAUGGUCAAUGAGGAAGAUCAUUAUUUUCUGAAGGUGUGGCAUUUUUAGAGUAUAGGAUGAAUAUCCUUUCUGAGAAUCUAUUAUGAUAGCUGGCCAUUCCAGGUUUAUUUCCUGUUGCUGUGAUAAGAAACAAAAACAAAUACAAAACAAAAGCAAAAGCAAAACAAACAAACAAAAACCAAAACCUGACCAAAGCACCUUAGGAGAAAAAGGCAGCUAGUCACAUUCACAGUGAAGAGCAGAGAGAGAAUGGAUGCAUGCUUGCUUGUGUUCAGCUCUAAAAUAGUUCAAGUUUCCCUGCCUAGGGAGUGGUGCUGCUUAUAGUGGGCAGGUCUCCCCACUACAUUUAAUGUAAGAUAACCCUAUAAAGACAGGCUCAUAGGCCAACCUGAUUAAAAUAGUUCUUCAUGAAGACUUUCUUCUCCUGUAAUUCUAGAUUGUGUCAAGUUGACAAUUAAACCAUUUAAUUAUCACAACUGUACUCCUUAGCAACUUGACACAAUACAGAAUCACCUGCAAAGGCGAAUCACAAUGAGAAUUGUCUGGAAUGGAUUUGCUUGUAAUCAUGCCUCUGAGGAAUCUUCUUAGGUUAGUUAAUUGAGGUGGGAAGAUGACUUACCAUGGAUGUGGGUGACACCAUUUCGUCCUCUGGACUCUGGGCUAAGGAAAGGAGAAAGGUCACUAAGUUCUAGGCAUCAUGCAUGAAUUCAUUUCUCUUUGCUCAUGAAUGUGACUGCAAUGUGACUCAUUCCCUGGAGCUCUUGUCAAUGUCUUGUCUUGGCAUCCCUACUAUGCUGGAAUGGAACCUGGAACCAUGAACAAAAGUAAAAUCUUUCUUUUUCUCCUUAAGUCGCUUUUCUCAGGGUAUUUUCUCACAGCAACAGAAAAACAAAACAAAACAACAGAAAGAAAAGAAAAGAAAAAAAAAAACCUAUGAAGACAGUGAUCUAAAGCAAAUGAAGAUGACUGAAACCAGGUGUCUUGAGAGAGGCUAGGAUGGAGUUCAGAGGCCAUGGAAACAUCACAGAACUGAGUACUAGAGGCCACUGUAGCUGCACUGCCUAGAGGAAACAUGCCACUUUCCAAUAUUGUCCAGCUACUUACUGUCCUAUUUAAAUUAAAGUUUUUAUUAUAGAAAAUACAUGUAAUGUAAAAUUGACCCUUUUUUUUGGUUUUUCUUGAGACAGGGUUUCUCUGUAUAGCCCUGACUGUCCUGGAACUCACUUUGUAAAACAGACUGGCCUCAAACUCAGAAAUCUGCCUGCCUCUGUCUCCCGAGUGCUGGGAUUAAAGGCAUGCGCCACCAUGGCCAGCAAAAUUGACCAUUUUAAUCAUGUUUUGAUGUAUAGUUCACUGGCAUUAAGUACACUCUCAUUAUUAUGCAACUACCACCACCACCACCAUCCAGGCCCAGAGCUGUGAGGUUUGUUUUUAGAGAGAAAUGAAAUCAUUUCUGUGGAAGCUCUUAGAAGAGCAUAAUUCACCAUAGGAAUGCAAAAUAUUGUCAUGCCUCUUACUGUCCAAUAAUUUAGCAGAAGGGGCAAAGGUCACCUUCAAAGGGUUGCUUUACUUGUAAGUGAUUGGAGAAGGCCAAAUAAAUGGUCUCUUGUGGAGGAUUCAAAUUAGUGGAGAUGCCCCAGGGAUCACCUGUAGCAAUUGAAGUCAUACCCAACUUGAACUUACAACAAAUUUGCAUCAAUCAGUUCCUCAUUUGAGCCUGAGUUAGAAGAUAUCAUUUCCCCCCUGCUGCACAUUUGAAAUGAGUGGGUCAGGAAAGCUGAAGAAGUCAGGAGAGGGAGGGAGCCCAUGUGGCCUAAUGAAGAGGUCUAAAAAUAGUUGAGAGAAAGAAUUCUCCCAAGUGGGAUUCUGAAGUUCUCUCAGAUGCUGGGUAGCAUUCUGACUUUAUUCUCACCCAGCUCUUCCAUCCUGAAUUCUCAGCAAGGUUUGUCCACCUUGAGGAGGACAAUAAAACAUGAUAUACUCAUCAAGAGAUAAAUAAAUGAAAGCAUUUUAACAUUUGACAACAUAUAUAUAUGUAUGUAUAUUUAUAUACAUAUGUAUAUAUUUAUGUGUGUGUGUAUGUUGUCUAUAUAGAAAUAAAUAUUUGUGUAUAUGUAUAUGUUACACACUGUAUAUGUGUAUGUGUAUGUGAUGUGUAUAUGUAUAUGUAUAUGUAUAUGUAUAUGUAUAUGUAUAUGUAUAUGUAUAUGUAUAAUCUCCAGUCUGGUUGAAGCUUGGAAACUGGAUUAAAGAAAAGAGAAAUGUGGAAAUGUGGAAAGGACUUUUGACAUAACAAAUCUAAUGAUAUCUGUCUGUGUCUUGUCAUGCUCUGUUUUAUUUUCAAUAGUUUCUAUGGAAUUAAAUUUGGAUCUAAUUGUCAUUUGUGUGAAGUGCCCAAUGCUUUACUCAUCUAGAUGAAGAGAGUAAGAGAUGGAGUAUAUAUUUGUGUUGUUCAGAACUGUGGAGAAUGGCUCAGUAGGAACACUUUUGUCUAGCAUGUAUAAGCCAUAAACUAAAUCCCCAGAACUUCCAAAAAUAAAACGAAACCAUUCACAGGACUCAGUCUGUUUUGACUGAGUAUACCAUGUGCCAUAGCAGUGAGAUUUGUUUACAAAUGCACUGGGAGAGAGAAGACAGAAGAGGCAUUUAUUAAGAGCUUAUUGUAUGCACAGCCUUUAUGAAUCAUGUCAACUAACUACCUUCUUACUUGUUAAGUUCACCGAUGCUUAAAGAGGUUAUGCAGUUUAUCCUAGAUCAUAUGGCUAAUGAAGGUGAGAGCUGUGUUGACAUUCACUCCUAUUUUGCUCCUAAGCACAAAGAACUCCCAUCAUCCUCAGUAGAAAUGGCAGAUUUGAUCUACUUCCUCCUGAAAAAGGUCAUAGUUUGAAA